rfam:Amazona aestiva scaffold_2029, whole genome shotgun sequence.
GCUAGUGUAGCAGAGCCCGGCAAAUGCAAAAGACUUAAACCCUUUACCCCAGAGGUUCAAAUCCUCUCUCUAGCU